CGCAAAGCAGGCUAGACCCGAGCCGGGAAAUAUUUGUUAAAAUAAGUCUGACAGGCAAAAAUAGUGAUUAUACUGGACGAUAGUUAAAUUGUGCCAGUGAGAACAAGUGGAUGUGAAGCAGCAGAUUUACGAUAAGUGAUGCUCCUCUUGGAUCACCGCAUGCGGAUGCAUGUUAUCAUGGAGUAGAGUGCAAUAACUUCUGAGAUCGGCCUUUCGUUUCAACCUAAAAGCGAUGGUGGAGAAUGCCAUAAUUUUGGCGCAGUGGUUGGUGCUUCCGAGCAAGGAAUGACGGGUCGG